CGGGAAUAUUGCGCAAUGGAGGGAACUCUGACGCAGCGACGCCGCGUGAGCGAUGAAGGUCUUCGGAUCGUAAAGCUCUGUCCUUGGGGAAGAAGGGAGCCGUAAGGCUUCUUGACGGUACCCAUGGAGGAAGCCCCGGCUAACUACGUGCCAGCAGCCGCGGUAAUACGUAGGGGGCAAGCGUUGUCCGGAAUUAUUGGGCGUAAAGGGUGCGUAGGCGGCCCUUUAAGUCAGAUGUGAAAGCCCACGGCUUAACCGUGGGACUGCAUUUGAAACUGGAGGGCUUGAGUGUCGGAGAGGGCAGUGGAAUUCCCAGUGUAGCGGUGAAAUGCGUAGAUAUUGGGAGGAACACCAGUGGCGAAGGCGACUACCUGGACGAUAACUGACGCUGAGGCACGAAAGCUAGGGGAGCAAAC
rnacentral:rRNA from 1 species